GCCCCGCCCCCCUGCGCACUCCCCUCCGCCGCCCUGCCGGUUCGGCCUCCGGUGACAGUCUCGCCCGACGCUGUCCCGGGUCGGCCCCGCUGGGCCCAAGGAACCCGCGUUUUGCAAGAUGCCCCUGAAUGCCCGCUUCCCCCGGAGCCCAGGUUGGGCCCGGGUCUCUCCCGGGCUAGAGAAGAGGCGGCGCUGCCUACCCGGCAGAGGACGAAAUAGAAACCUCGAGGACAGUUUCCUCCGCCGGCAGAGAGUUGAGAGAACUAAUAGCGAGAUUCUCGCUACAGGAAGUCGAGGAGCUGAACUAGAGAAGUGAAUCAUAUGGCUUUCAAUUUGUGCAGAUUGUGUGCUGUCAAGAUCUGAAGGGGAAGAGAUUCAGGAGGUCGACUCUCCAAGCUGGGAUGUCUGUGGGACCCUCUGUCUGGUUGCUGGCAAUCCUGCAAAAAAUGGGUGCCUCUGCCCAGCACCCCAGCUGCUUACUCUUGUUCUCACUCCCUCCCCUCCCUUCUGUUCCUCCUGCUCUCACAUGCGGAAGAGCCUGUUUUCCCUGCAGCCACUCUUGCCAGGAGACAUCAGAAACCCCAUGGACGUUUAGGGAAGACAUACGGCACAGUUCCCUGGAAGGAGAGACCAGAUUCUAAGCUCUUAGGACCCUCAUCCUUGGUUAUCAGUCCACCCGGUGCCUGGUUUCUGCUCCAGUCUCCACUGGGGUAAGAGGUCUGGAAAAGUGCCUAUUUACCUGGCCAUUAUAGUGUCCCCACUCACCCUCUUGUUUCUCUUCCUUAGCAAUAAGGCUUUUUCUUCUUCUUUAGCAAUAAAAUAAUGACAUAGCCACCACUUGGGGAAUGAUGCCUGGAACUAUACGAACUAACACAUCCACCCCUACACUCCGAGCUCCCCAGCCCUCUAAGCUCACUUCUUUCCACCUAACAUCAUAUAUGUUUACUCAAUGUUUUUGUCUCUCAGGACUUUCCCCAGGACUAUAAGCUCCUCAAAGGCAGGGAUUUUGUCUUUCAGGGCUGUGUCCCCAGACAGCAGCAUGUAUCCAUGGUAGGUAUUCUAUAAAUAUUUAUUGAAUGCAUAAAUGUGCUUAUAUUGGAAGAUAUAAAAAGAAAGUGAAGAACAAACAUGCAUAAAAAAACUUCUCUAAGAGUUUAUCAUCUAACCAUGUGAUAACUAUCCUACAAAGGGUUAUGAAAUAACCCAAGGGGUGUUAAAACUGUCAAAGGCAUUCUGAUCUUGCCCUCCGGUUUAGUAAGAAAAAUGCACUUUUGCUUUCAGAUACGUACAGUAGCCUGACAUUCUUUGUGGGGAUUUUUUAUUUUUUAAAGAAAUAAUCUGUUAGGCAAGUAUGUGAAACCUUCUUAUUUAA